rnacentral:rRNA from 1 species
AUUGAACGCUGGCGGCAGGCCUAACACAUGCAAGUCGAGCGGUAGCACAGAGAGCUUGCUCUCGGGUGACGAGCGGCGGACGGGUGAGUAAUGUCUGGGAAACUGCCCGAUGGAGGGGGAUAACUACUGGAAACGGUAGCCAAUACCGCAUAACGUCGCAAGACCAAAGAGGGGGACCUUCGGGCCUCUUGCCAUCGGAUGUGCCCAGAUGGGAUUAGCUAGUAGGUGGGGUAACGGCUCACCUAGGCGACGAUCCCUAGCUGGUCUGAGAGGAUGACCAGCCACACUGGAACUGAGACACGGUCCAGACUCCUACGGGAGGCAGCAGUGGGGAAUAUUGCACAAUGGGCGCAAGCCUGAUGCAGCCAUGCCGCGUGUAUGAAGAGGGCCUUCGGGUUGUAAAGUACUUUCAGCGGGGAGGAAGGUGUUGAGGUUAAUAACCUCAGCAAUUGACGUUACCCGCAGAAGAAGCACCGGCUAACUCCGUGCCAGCCGCCGCCGUAA